GAUGAAGAACGUAGCGAAAUGCGAUAAGUAAUGUGAAUUGCAGAAUUCAGUGAAUCAUCGAAUCUUUGAACGCACAUUGCGCCCUCUGGUAUUCCGGGGGUCAUGCCUGUUCGAGCGUCAUUAUAACCACUCAAGCUUUCGCUUGGUAUUGGGGCUCGCGGUUCCGCGGCCCCUAAAAUCAGUGGCGGUGCCUGUCGGCUCUACGCGUAGUAAUACUCCUCGCGAUUGAGUCCGGUAGGUCUACUUGCCAGCAACCCCCAAUUUUUACAGGUUGACCUCGGAUCAGGUAGGGAUACCCGCUGAACUUAAGCAUAUCAAUAAGCGGAGGA
rnacentral:misc_RNA from 1 species